GAGUUUGAUCAUGGCUCAGGAUGAACGCUGGCGGUAUGCCUUAUACAUGCAAGUCGUACGAGAGUUUUUAACUCAAGUGGCGGACGGGUGAGUAACACGUAAGAAUUUGCCUUUAGGAGGGGGACAACAGCUGGAAACGGUUGCUAAUACCCCAUAUGCUUUCGAGUGAAAUGGAUUUCCGCCUAAAGAGAAGCUUGCGGCUGAUUAGCUUGUUGGUAGAGUAAUAGCCUACCAAGGCGACGAUCAGUAUCUGGUUUGAGAGGACGAUCAGACACACUGGAACUGAGACACGGUCCAGACUCCUACGGGAGGCAGCAGUAGGGAAUUUUCCGCAAUGGGCGAAAGCCUGACGGAGCAAUACCGCGUGAGGGAUGACUGCCUAUGGGUUGUAAACCUCUU
rnacentral:rRNA from 1 species